CGCGUACACUCCUACUGGAGGCAGCAGUGGGGAAUAUUGCACAAUGGGCGCAAGCCUGAUGCAGCCAUGCCGCGUGUAUGAAGAAGGCCUUCGGGUUGUAAAGUACUUUCAGCAGUGAGGAAGGUGGUGUCGUUAAUAGCGGCAUCAUUUUGACGUUAGCUGCAGAAGAAGCACCGGCUAACUCCGUGCCAGCAGCCGCGGUAAUACGGAGGGUGCGAGCGUUAAUCGGAAUUACUGGGCGUAAAGCGCAUGCAGGUGGUUUGUUAAGUCAGAUGUGAAAGCCCGGGGCUCAACCUCGGAAUUGCAUUUGAAACUGGCAGACUAGAGUACUGUAGAGGGGGUAGAAUUUCAGGUGUAGCGGUGAAAUGCGUAGAGAUCUGAAGGAAUACCGGUGGCGAAGGCGGCCCCCUGGACAGAUACUGACACUCAGAUGCGAAAGCGUGGGGAGCAAACAGGAUUAGAUACCCUGGUAG
rnacentral:rRNA from 1 species